rnacentral:piRNA from 1 species
UCUUUAGAAAUCUUGAAUAAGGCUGGG